CCCGCGGGGAGUCCCGCGCCGCCAGGCUUCGCGGACCAAGCGCGUCCGUUUGCGCGAGCCCCUGGGCGCCAAGGUUUGGUGGGCCUCUCGGGCCGCCCGGGACUGCGCGCGCACGCGCGGGGACGAGCCCGGCAGCGGGAACUCACGGCGGUUCCUCGCGUUCCCUCUGGAAAGCACCCGGCGCCGCGGCAACAAGAGCGGAGCAAAGACGUGACGAUUCAAGAUGGCGGAAGACCUGGACGAGCUCUUGGAUGAAGUCGAGUCCAAGUUUUGCAGACUAGGCCCACUGAGACUGGGCUUGGUCGAAGGGCCUAAAGGCUGCGGCGGCGGCACCCACAGCAGCGACCGGAACCAAGCCGAGGCGAAACAGAAUCUCAGAUCAACAGAAGCAUUUAAAAAGGAAGAUGAUCUUGACAGUCUUAUCAAUGAAAUAUUUGAAGAGCCCAACUUUGACAAGAAACCCUUUAAAUUAAAACCUAAAUCUUCAGGUAACACAUCUGUCAGAGCUUCCAUUCAAGGCCUUAGUAAAAGUUGCAGUCCAGUGUACCUUGGUGGAAGCACUAUUCCAUGUGGGAUUGGAACAAAUACUUCACAGAGAGCGUGUGACCAUCUGCGUUGUAUAGCCUGUGAUUUCUUGGUAGUAAGCUACGAUGACUACAUGUGGGACAAAUCAUGUGAUUAUCUGUUUUUCAGGAACAACAUGCCAGAAUUCCACAAAUUAAAAACAAAGUUGAUAAAGAAGAAAGGAACACGGGCAUAUGCCUGCCAGUGUAGCUGGAGAACUAUUGAAGAACUAACUGACCUUCAGACAGAUCAUCACCUUCGUUGGGUUUGUGGUAAACAUUAAGAAUGUAGACUUUUGGGCCGGCCCGUGGCUCACUCGGGAGAGUACGGUGCUGAUAACACCAAGGCCCCGGGUUCGGAUCCCAUAUAGGGAUGGCCGGUUCGCUCACUGGCUGAGCGUGGUGCUGACAACACCAAGUCAAGGGUUAAGAUCCCCUUACCGGUCAUCUUUAAAAAAAAAAAAAAAAAGAAUGUAGACUUUUCACAUUUGAACAAAUGCAUCCAUGAGAGAUCUUCAUUAAUCAUCAUAAAUAUUAGGAAUAUAGGAGGAUAUGGACUGAAGUCACCUAUUCUAAAAAGCAACAGAACAACAAGAUCCGCACAUUCAGAACUUCAUGGAAUUUGGCACAUUAGUGCCAAAUCAUAAUGGUGAUUUUUUUUUUUUUUUUAAUACCAGUGAGCAAAUUUACUAACUCAUUAACUUAAAAAAAUUUUCAACGACUUUGCCUGUUCUUUGGAGGGACAAAAUUAUCUUGUUUCAUUUUUUUUCUUUUAUUAUUAUUUUAUUAAAACUAUCCUGAAAGUGGCAUACAUUGCCCAUAUUUGGUAUCCCAUAAUAACAAUUACAAUAAUUCCUUAAUGUCAGAAAUGUAUGCAUGAGUUCCCCUUUUUUUGGCAAUUUAUAUACUUUUUAAUAUUGUACUAUUUUUAAUCUAAAAUGUGGAAAGAAUAUUGUGUUUGUAUACAAAUGGAUAAUUAUUACCAGUUGUAAUUUAAGCCAAAAUGCAACCAUUUUAGUAUCAAUAUAGAAAAAAGAGCAUAGUUUCUGUAAAUUAAAAGUGCGAAGUCUCUAAAACUUUCAAGAUGUUUUGCCUAUUUGUUUUCAAUGUGUGUAAUAAUUUUCUACCUUUGCCAACUGUCUAUUGUCAAGCCAGGUAACUAUUUUAUUUGAACUGUAUAUACUCUCA